GGAGAGUUAUCGAAGUGGUCAUAACGGGGCUGACUCGAAAUCAGUUAGCGGGUAACACCGCCCAAGGGUUCGAAUCCCUUACUCUCCGCCA
rnacentral:tRNA from 2 species